rnacentral:rRNA from 1 species
AACUUAAGCAUAUCAAUAAGCGGAGGAAAAGAAACCAACAGGGAUUGCCCUAGUAACGGCGAGUGAAGCGGCAACAGCUCAAAUUUGAAAUCUGGCUCUUUCAGAGUCCGAGUUGUAAUUUGCAGAGGGCGCUUUGGCUUUGGCAGCGGUCCAAGUUCCUUGGAACAGGACGUCACAGAGGGUGAGAAUCCCGUACGUGGUCGCUAGCUAUUGCCGUGUAAAGCCCCUUCGACGAGUCGAGUUGUUUGGGAAUGCAGCUCUAAAUGGGAGGUAAAUUUCUUCUAAAGCUAAAUAUUGGCCAGAGACCGAUAGCGCACAAGUAGAGUGAUCGAAAGAUGAAAAGCACUUUGGAAAGAGAGUCAAACAGCACGUGAAAUUGUUGAAAGGGAAGCGCUUGCAGCCAGACUUGCUUGCAGUUGCUCAUCCGGGCUUUUGCCCGGUGCACUCUUCUGUAGGCAGGCCAGCAUCAGUUUGGGCGGUGGGAUAAAGGUCUCUGACACGUUCCUUCCUUCGGGUUGGCCAUAUAGGGGAGACGACAUACCACCAGCCUGGACUGAGGUCCGCGCAUCUGCUAGGAUGCUGGCGUAAUGGCUGUAAGCGGCCCGUCUUGAAACACGGACCAAGGAGUCUAACAUCUAUGCGAGUGUUUGGGUGUCAAGCCCGAACGCGUAAUGAAAGUGAACGGAGGUGGGAACCCGCAAGGGCGCACCAUCGACCGAUCCUGAAGUUUACGGAAGGAUUUGAGUAAGAGCAUGGCUGUUGGGACCCGAAAGAUGGUGAACUAUGCUUGAAUAGGGUGAAGCCAGAGGAAACUCUGGUGGAGGCUCGCAGCGGUUCUGACGUGCAAAUCGAUCGUCAAAUUUGGGCAUAGGGGCGAAAGACUAAUCGAACUAUCUAGUAGCUGGUUCCUGCCGAGU